GACCUUCAGUUUUCCUUAACACAACAGCCCCAAACGAAGCCUAAUGGCUCAAUCCUACCGCGCACAGCUCAUUCAAAAUGAGCUGUCUCCGGCCAUUUUUGGCAUGAGAUCAUGCAUUUUCAGCCUUAACAGGCUUUGUUUCAACAUUUUGGGUAAAGAAAUUUAUUGCUCUUUGUCAUCUUCUCCAAUUCAAGCGGAGUCCCAAUGGAUUUCGUCUCCCAAAUUCUCUGUUGGGACCAGCCCAACAUGUCAUUCUUCAUCGAGUCAGCCCCCAUCACAUUUCUAGCAACCAGCCGCGGAUUGAAGGCCCAACGGGUGAAAAUGGCAACUAGUGAGCUUCGGUAGACAGGGAGGCGACCCAGACUCAUAGGAGCUGAUCAGCAGAGUCACGAGAGCACUCUAUUAUUCGGAGUUGCUAAUUGAGUUAUGGUUAUGUGUACAUAUUUGGGCACGACGGGGUCCUGUCCUGUCCUUAUGUUUAGUACUCUAGUAGAGGCUCGUAGAUACGCAUGUGUGGGUAAUAUGGUCUCAUGAUUUCUCCUCAUUGUAUAUAUGUUAUUUUGAUAGCCGGAAGGCUUAUGUAUACAAAUGUAGAUAUGCUUGAAAUUAAAAAUGGUUUUCCUUAUGUCUA